AAAAGAACCAAGCGGCCGGCGCGGAGGGAGCGUGACGUCAUAACCAAGGAGUGGCCGUGGCAGGCGAGACGGGGUGCAGCCUCCGCCGACCUUUCUAUUAGCUCUCCACCAAAUAAUGCGGAUGGAUUGUAAGGUCUAUGUGGGCAACCUUGGCAAUAAUGCCGCAAAGCACGAGCUGGAGUCAGCUUUCACUAAAUACGGCCCCCUGGUGAACGUGUGGGUGGCCCGCAACCCCCCCGGCUUUGCCUUCGUGGAGUUUGAGGACCCGAGGGAUGCAGAGGAUGCCGUGAGGGCCCUGGACGGCACGCGUCUGUGUGGUGUGAGAGUGAGGGUUGAGAUGUCCACCGGUCGUUCCCGCAGAGACCGCUACCGCUCCCCUCCGCGGCGGGGAGGAAGCCGCAGAUCCAGGACUAUCUCGCCCAAAUUACUUCUUGUUCCACCACCACCACCACCACCAUCUACUCCUCCUACUGUUGCUACCACACCACCACCACCAACUCCACCACAACCACCACCACCACCACAAGUACUUCCACCACCAUCACCACCACCACUGCUAGCAUCAGCAUCAGCCUCUCUGUUCAGUGGACUGCUAACAUUGGGGUGCUGGGGCAGGGGGGGUGCCCUUUGGGCACUCCCUUCUCUCCUAACCUGAUCCCACACUGGUACAACCUUGAUAGCCUGAGUCAAUGCUCCUACCUAGUCCAGUCAGAUUGCCUUGUGAAGCAGCACUCGGGCUGGACUGUUAGGCGCUAAGCCAGACCAGUGCCGGGUCCCCUGAUGCCCUGAGGCUUGGCGGAGGUGGUGGUGAGCGGCACGUUGCCUGAUGGCCCUCCUACGGCGCGGCACCUCGUGGCACCCGGGCAGCCCUUAUGCGCUUCACGUGUCCUCUUCUCCCCGCCCGUCUACGUCUACCCUCCGCCCACUGCCCGCCCAACGCCCGCCCGCAGCCUGCGCACCAUCAGGCCUGCCCCCCCACCCACCAUCUUGGGUCCUUGACCCUCCAACGCUCGCUCCACUUUCUUACAUUCAUCGCGCCUCGCCUCACCAUAACGCCUACCCUGCUGUGACGGUCUCGGUCUCCUCGUAGGUUUGGCCGCUCCCGUUCUCGGUCACCCAGGCGCUCCCGGUCCCGUUCUCCCAGGUAUGAUGACUACCGCAGGCGCAGCGACUCCCCGGACUUCAGAAGACGAUCCCGUUCUAGAUCUUAAGG